UCAGUCGACUCCUACGGGGAGGCAGCAGUGGGGAAUUUUGGACAAUGGGGGGCAACCUGAUCCAGCAAUGCCGCGUGAGUGAAGAAGGACCCUCGGGUUGUAAAGCUCUUUGUCAGGGAAGAAACGGUGAUCUCUAAUAUAGAUUGCUAAUGACGGUACCUGAAGAUAAGCACCGGCUAACUACGUGCCAGCAGCCGCGGUAAUACGUAGGGUGCAAGCGUUAAUCGGAAUUACUGGGCGUAAAGCGUGCGCAGGCGGUUUUGUAAGUCUGAUGUGAAAUCCCCGGGGCUCAACCUGGGAACUGCAUUGGAGACUGCAAGGCUAGAGUGUGUCAGAGGGGGGUAGGAAUUCCACGUGUAGCAGUGAAAUGCGUAGAGAUGUGGAGGAAUACCGAUGGCGAAGGCAGCCCCCUGGGAUAACACUGACGCUCAUGCACGAAAGCGUGGGGAGCAAACAGGAUUAGAUACCCUGGUAG
rnacentral:rRNA from 1 species